AUUGAACGCUGGCGGCAGGCCUAACACAUGCAAGUCGAGCGGAUGAAGGGAGCUUGCUCCUGGAUUCAGCGGCGGACGGGUGAGUAAUGCCUAGGAAUCUGCCUGGUAGUGGGGGAUAACGUCCGGAAACGGGCGCCAAUACCGCAUACGUCCUGAGGGAGAAAGUGGGGGAUCUUCGGACCUCACGCUAUCAGAUGAGCCUAGGUCGGAUUAGCUAGUUGGUGGGGUAAAGGCCUACCAAGGCGACGAUCCGUAACUGGUCUGAGAGGAUGAUCAGUCACACUGGAACUGAGACACGGUCCAGACUCCUACGGGAGGCAGCAGUGGGGAAUAUUGGACAAUGGGCGAAAGCCUGAUCCAGCCAUGCCGCGUGUGUGAAGAAGGUCUUCGGAUUGUAAAGCACUUUAAGUUGGGAGGAAGGGCAGUAAGUUAAUACCUUGCUGUUUUGACGUUACCAACAGAGUAAGCACCGGCUAACUUCGUG
rnacentral:rRNA from 1 species